GAUGAACGCUGGCGGCGUGCCUAAUACAUGCAAGUCGAGCGAACAGAUGAGGAGCUUGCUCCUCUGACGUUAGCGGCGGACGGGUGAGUAACACGUGGAUAACCUACCUAUAAGACUGGGAUAACUUCGGGAAACCGGAGCUAAUACCGGAUAAUAUAUGGAACCGCAUGGUUCAAUAGUGAAAGACGGUUUUGCUGUCACUUAUAGAUGGAUCCGCGCCGCAUUAGCUAGUUGGUAAGGUAACGGCUUACCAAGGCAACGAUGCGUAGCCGACCUGAGAGGGUGAUCGGCCACACUGGCACUGAGACACGGUCCAGACUCCUACGGGAGGCAGCAGUAGGGAAUCUUCCGCAAUGGGCGAAAGCCUGACGGAGCAACGCCGCGUGAGUGAUGAAGGUCUUCGGAUCGUAAAACUCUGUUAUUAGGGAAGAACAAAUGUGUAAGUAACUAUGCACGUCUUGACGGUACCUAAUCAGAAAGCCACGGCUAACUACGUG
rnacentral:rRNA from 1 species